rnacentral:rRNA from 1 species
AUUGAACGCUGGCGGCAGGCCUAACACAUGCAAGUCGAGCGGAUGAGUGGAGCUUGCUCCAUGAUUCAGCGGCGGACGGGUGAGUAAUGCCUAGGAAUCUGCCUGGUAGUGGGGGACAACGUUUCGAAAGGAACGCUAAUACCGCAUACGUCCUACGGGAGAAAGUGGGGGAUCUUCGGACCUCACGCUAUCAGAUGAGCCUAGGUCGGAUUAGCUAGUUGGUGAGGUAAAGGCUCACCAAGGCGACGAUCCGUAACUGGUCUGAGAGGAUGAUCAGUCACACUGGAACUGAGACACGGUCCAGACUCCUACGGGAGGCAGCAGUGGGGAAUAUUGGACAAUGGGCGAAAGCCUGAUCCAGCCAUGCCGCGUGUGUGAAGAAGGUCUUUGGAUUGUAAAGCACUUUAAGUUGGGAGGAAGGGCAGUAAGUUAAUACCUUGCUGUUUUGACGUUACCAACAGAAUAAGCACCGGCUAACUUCGUG